rnacentral:rRNA from 1 species
UACGGAGGGUGCAAGCGUUAUCCGGAUUCACUGGGUUUAAAGGGUGCGUAGGUGGGUUGGUAAGUCAGUGGUGAAAUCUCCGGGCUUAACCUGGAAACUGCCAUUGAUACUAUCAAUCUUGAAUACCUUGGAGGUGAGCGGAAUAUGUCAUGUAGCGGUGAAAUGCUUAGAUAUGACAUAGAACACCAAUUGCGAAGGCAGCUCACUACACGGUCAUUGACACUGAGGCACGAAAGCGUGGGGAUCAAACAGGGA